rnacentral:rRNA from 1 species
CCUACGGGUGGCAGCAGUGGGGAAUAUUGGACAAUGGGGGGAACCCUGAUCCAGCCAUGCCGCGUGUGUGAAGAAGGCCCUCGGGUUGUAAAGCACUUUCAGUGAGGAAGAACGCCUGGUGGUUAAUACCCAUCAGGAAAGACAUCACUCACAGAAGAAGCACCGGCUAACUCCGUGCCAGCAGCCGCGGUAAUACGGAGGGUGCGAGCGUUAAUCGGAAUUACUGGGCGUAAAGCGCGCGUAGGUGGCUUGAUAAGCCGGUUGUGAAAGCCCCGGGCUCAACCUGGGAACGGCAUCCGGAACUGUCAAGCUAGAGUGCAGGAGAGGAAGGUAGAAUUCCCGGUGUAGCGGUGAAAUGCGUAGAGAUCGGGAGGAAUACCAGUGGCGAAGGCGGCCUCCUGGACUGACACUGACACUGAGGUGCGAAAGCGUGGGUAGCAAACAGGAUUAGAUACCCGAGUAGUC